GAUGAAGAACGUAGCGAAAUGCGAUAAGUAAUGUGAAUUGCAGAAUUCAGUGAAUCAUCGAAUCUUUGAACGCACAUUGCGCCCGCUAGUAUUCUGGCGGGCAUGCCUGUCCGAGCGUCAUUUCAACCCUCAAGCCCCCGGGCUUGGUGUUGGGGAUCGGCGAGCCUCCGCGCCCGCCGUCCCCUAAAUCUAGUGGCGGUCUCGCUGUAGCUUCCUCUGCGUAGUAGCACACCUCGCACUGGGAAACAGCGCGGCCACGCCGUUAAACCCCCAACUUCUGAACGUUUGACCUCGGAUCAGGUAGGAAGACCCGCUGAACUUAAGCAUAUCAAUAAGCGGAGGA
rnacentral:misc_RNA from 1 species